rfam:Ipomoea nil DNA, scaffold: scaffold3251, cultivar: Tokyo-kokei standard.
GGGGGUGUAGCUCAUAUGGUAGAGCGCUCGCUUUGCAUGCGAGAGGCACGAGGUUCGAUUCCCCGCACUUCCA